AGAGUUUGAUCCUGGCUCAGAAUCAACGCUGGCGGCGCGCUUAACACAUGCAAGUCGCACGAGAAAGGGAGCAAUCCUGAGUAAAGUGGCGUACGGGUGAGUAACACGUGGAUCAUCUACCUUUUAGUGGGGAAUACCCCCGGGAAACUGGGGACAAUACCGCAUAAGCUCGUGAGAGGAAAGCAGCGAUGCGCUGAAAGAGGAGUCCGCGGCUGAUUAGCUAGUUGGUGAGGUAACGGCCCACCAAGGCGAAGAUCGGUAGCCGGCCUGAGAGGGCACACGGCCACACUGGCACUGAAACACGGGCCAGACUCCUACGGGAGGCAGCAGUGGGGAAUCUUGCACAAUGGAGGAAACUCUGAUGCAGCGACGCCGCGUGAGCGAUGAAGCCCUUCGGGGUGUAAAGCUCUUUCGACGGGAACGAUAAUGACGGUACCCGAAGAAGAAGCUGCGGCUAACUACGUGCCAGCAGCCGCGGUAAUACGUAGGCAGCAAGCGUUGUUCGGAAUUACUGGGCGUAAAGAGUGUGUAGGCGGUGCACUAAGUCUGUCGUGAAAUCUCCCGGCUUAACUGGGAGGGUGCGGCGGAAACUGGUGUGCUUGAGGAUGGGAGAGGUAAGCGGAAUUCCUGGUGUAGCGGUGAAAUGCGUAGAUAUCAGGAGGAACACCUGGUGUAGACAGCUUACUGGACCAUUUCUGACGCUGAGACACGAAAGCGUGGGUAGCAAACAGGAUUAGAUACCCUAGUAGUCC
rnacentral:rRNA from 1 species